ensembl:snRNA U6 U6 spliceosomal RNA
GUGCUCGCUUUGACAACAUGUAUACUGAAAUUGGAACAAUGCAGAGAUCAGUGUGGACCCUGCACAAGAUGAAAUGCAAAUUUAUGAAGUGUACCUUUUUUUU